AUCAAUAUAACAAGAGGAAAGUCUGAAAAUUUUGCAUUUAAAAUGAAAAAAUUGUAAAAUGAGAAUCCAGUUGGACAAAAAGGUACAGAUGUAACAAUGAAAAUACAGGCUUCAGAAAUGCCAACCCUACCUGGUCAAAUAAUCCAUAACAUUGAGAUGGAAGUAAUCAUUUAUGCUGGGUUGGCAAUAUUGGUCUAGUAGCACCAGACCAGAAGAGAUUAAUAUGCCACAAUGCUGGCAUAUGCUGAGUGUUGCAAUGGCUAAUUACUAGGAUAUCUAACACACUGGAGUGGAACCAGAGCCCUGUGUUUAAGUACCUUCUACAGUGCUUGGGGACAGCUAGGUACCUUAUAGCAGGAUCCAGAACACAGCUGGUUAAUAGGAAGUUUUGAGGACAGCAGUGUAUUUCUGAUGCUGAAACCCCUCACUCAGGAUUACUGGGAGGUGUUUCUUUGUACUUAGAAUUCACUACCUGAAACUCUCCCACUAAUGUACGCUCCUACACUUUCUUUAAUAAAUGGAACAAGAUUCUUCUCUUUUUUAAAA